rnacentral:lncRNA from 1 species
GCCAAGACGACGAUGAUGACGGCAGCGCUUGCUGCCUCGGAGGGGAUCGUGUAGCAGCAGUAGCGGCGUCGUGAAUGGAGCGGCGCCGCUGAAUCGCCGGUCUUCCACAGACGGCGGAGGUGGCAGCCGAACCAUGACGGCGGGAGUAGAAAAGAAUUAGGGCUCGUUUUCCUUUCUCUCCUUCUCGAGUAUGGAUUCAAGGCAGAGACGGGCGAAGCUCAGCCGUUCGUUGGCCUUCCAGUCGCGACAGUAGUAAUUUCCUUCUUCUAAGAAUUAGGGCUCCACAUCGGAAAAGAAGGGGGAACGGAGAGGACUUCCGGUGCGAGAACUUCGACCACGUCGAAGAGGAGGCUGUUGUAUUGCCGAAUGAGGGGAAAAACAUCAGAUGUGAGAUAGAAGAGAUUUAUACUGAUUUGAAGUCGGUUUCUUAAGCAGCUGCGUGAAAAGCUGAAGGAUACGUGCCAGACGAAUAGCUAAUCUGGAUUAAUAAAUCUAAUCGACAGCUUAGAGCUAAGUGAUUCACUGCUAACACAAAGACUUGGGCUUGGGCCUCUUUAAUAUAAUCAUUGGCCCAAAUGAUAAAGUAUUGGGCUUAUUUAAACUUAGCCCAUAUAUACAUGUAUUGGACUAUAUUCCAAAACUUAACAAAAUCACUAGCCCAGACAAUAAUUAUUGGGCUUUUUACUAUAAAAUUAGAGACUUCUCUUUCUUCUUUAAAUAAUAGAAAUAGAAAUAAUAUUAACUAAUACAUAUAUACCGUAGUGAAAAUGCCGGUGUUACAAUAAGACUAACAACGUGCUCAACUGAGGCUAUUACGAAACUAAGUUUAUUUCCGCUGCGUAUGAUAUCAGUCNCAAGCAUCACACAGGAGUUUUAUUUAAAUAACCUGUGCAUGCAAAACUGUAAAACUUCUCGAUAAUCAUCAUAACAUCAUAUACGUCUGCAGACAAUGAACAUGUAUGUACCAUAUCUACGCAUCAUAUAACUCUGAGUGUUGAGAAGUAGGCCUCCUUCUCAAACACGAUGACAAGCUAACUCAAAGGUUAACUGUCAACUCUGUGUACACAAAUCCUGACUCGCUCAGGACCCGAAUUCGUUCUUCUAUGUAGAUGGUAUCAUACAAAUCUCAAAUAUUGGCAAGUCAAUAAUUUGAAAACAAAUGCAUACACUCAAACUUUGUAUUAAAGUAUGCAUCUUUAACUGUUGAGUUAGUAAGCCCACCUGAUAUACUUAACGAUGUAGAAACUCUUGCUCACUUAUCUAGCAUUGUUACUGUCACCUUCAUAAUAGCAAGAUUAGAAAAUAAGGUUGGAUAACUAGAUAAGAAGAAAUAACUAUAAAUAGCAUCCCGAUAAACUUUUAAUCUUUUGCAAAACUAGGGUUGCAUCAACUAAACUAACCAAAAGCAAACAGUAACAUCAUAUCUCUUGGGAUAUCUCAAGUUGAAAAAGUAAGAGUAACUAACCCAUUCUAUAUAGAUUAGUUUACAAUUGAUAACUAAAAUAUCAAUUCAAGAAUUGACCAAUGACUUAAGCAUAGUUUUACUCAACUAUCCCAAGUAAGUAACUUCAAAUAUGUAAUCAUAUAUGAAUCUCAACUUUGAAAAAUCAUAUAAAAUCAACCUCUUCAAAGAAAAAUACAUGAUUUACCUUUUUAGAAAUUUCUUAAAGUCUAUUUUUAAUGAAAAUUUACAAAAAUGCAAUAUCUCAAGUGUAUAAGAAAUUAUAUCAAGAAAGACAGAAUCUGCCACAGAACUACGCUGCUUCGCGCAGUACAUUUCAGAAAAUUGUUUGACCUACCUAGUGGUCUAGGAUUCAGCUGCAAUUUUGCAGAGAACGACUACACAUGAUGAAGUUAUUACAGUAAAAAUUUCAAGUUAUUUGGACUCCGAAAACAUCAUCAAAAGUACCCCGAAACAUACUGUUCUGUCCAACCCGAAAACUAGACAGCAAUGCUCAAUGACAUAUCACUCAUAUUUUCUUCAAUAAAAGCUAUAGGAUCUCAAAUACAUCAUCUUAAUAUACAUUAGCACGCUUUAGCUUAACUUAAUUCAUGUUCAACACAUCAACAUAUAGUAGCAUGCUUAAUAUCCUCCAAUUAUUAUCAUAUAAUCUCAUUUUACAACUCAAAGAGUACAAUUACACAAGCAUCAAACAAAUAGCUAUCCUAUACAAAAUUCCCAAAUCCACCAAUCCAUCUAAACUAAACUUAUUGGGAAAUCAUGAUUUCUUUUGAGUAAAUACCCAAAUAACUCUCAAUAAUAUCUUUGCAUACAUAUAAACAUUUAUACAUAGUCAAUUAAUGCUAAUAUAAAGGGAAUAGAUUCUAGGGUUCAUGAAAGAGGCUGAAAAUUGGGGCUUUGGGAUAGAACUUCGAUUCCUAUCAUCCUAUCACUAGAUUCUAGUGAAUAUUUACCUCAAGUACAUAUAACAUUUGUUUAAUAUCUCACUUUAGGAAUCUCAGAGAGAAGUCACCUAUGCCUCGAUUAUUUUGGCAUGAACUCAGAAAUCACAAGCAACAUCAAACACUUUCUUCAAUAACAAGUAGAAUACUAACUUUUCGACGACGAGGGACGCAACCCUGUUCAGUCGAGCCAAGACGACGAUGAUGACGGCAGCGCUUGCUGCCUCGGAGGGGAUCGUGUAGCAGCAGUAGCGGCGUCGUGAAUGGAGCGGCACCGCUGAAUCGCCGGUCUUCCACAGACGGCGGAGGUGGCAGCCGAACCAUGACGGCGGGAGUAGAAAAGAAUUAGGGCUCGUUUUCCUUUCUCUCCUUCUCGAGUAUGGAUUCAAGGCAGAGACGGGCGAAGCUCAGCCGUUCGUUGGCCUUCCAGUCGCGACAGUAGUAAUUUCCUUCUUCUAAGAAUUAGGGCUCCACA